AACCGGCAAGGCAGAGACAGCAAGGGCGGUUCGUUGCUCCAGCCUUUCCGUUCACCUUCACACUCCUGGGCCAGACUAUACUUAAUCAUAGGACCUACUGAAGAGAUAAGUCUUCAGUAAAGACUUAAAGGUUGAGACUGAGUCUGCGUCUCUCACAUUGGUAGGCAGACCAUUCCAUAAAAAUGGAGCUCUAUAGGAGAAAGCCCUACCUCCAGCCGUUUGCUUAGAAAUUCUAGGGACAAUUAGGAGGCCUGCGUCUUGUGACCGUAGCGUACGUGUAGGUAUGUACGGCAGGACCAAAUCGGAAAGAUAGGUAGGAGCAAGCCCAUGUAAUGCUUUGUAGGUUAGCAGUAAAACCUUGAAAUCAGCCCUUGCCUUAACAGGAAGCCAGUGUAGGGAGGCUAACACUGGAGUAAUAUGAUCAAAUUUUUUGGUUCUAGUCAGGAUUCUAGCAGCCGUAUUUAGCACUAACUGAAGUUUAUUUAGUGCUUUAUCCGGGUAGCCGGAAAGUAGAGCAUUGCAGUAGUCCAGCCUAGAAGUAACAAAAGCAUGGAUUAAUUUUUCUGCGUCAUUUUUGGACAGAAAAUUUCUGAUUUUUGCAAUGUUACGUAGAUGGAAAAAAGCUAUCUAUCCCCUUCAUCCCUGGAUACUGGUUGAUCACAGUAUCCUGCAUUAUUGUAAAAAGAGAAACCUAUUUAGUGAUUCAAAUGCACUAAUUGAUAUAUUUUUGAUUAUAUGUUAUAUUGGAACCCUGUUGAGCAGAGGAGGGGUAGUUUGAUAUGUUAUAUUGGAACCCUGGUGAGCAGAGGAGGGGUAGUUUGAUAUGUUAUAUUGGAACCCUGGUGAGCAGAGGAGGGGUAGUUUGAUAUGUUAUAUUGGAACCCUGGUGAGCAGAGGAGGGGUAGUUUGAUAUGUUAUAUUGGAACCCUGGUGAGCAGAGGAGGGGUAGUUUGAUAUGUUAUAUUGGAACCCUGGUGAGCAGAGGAGGGGUAGUUUGAUAUGUUAUAUUGGAACCCUGGUGAGCAGAGGAGGGGUAGUUUGAUAUGUUAUAUUGGAACCCUGGUGAGCAGAGGGGUAGAAAAUAACCAUUGUGUAGCUCUUUUUGUCACAUAUUGUUUGCAUUUGUUUUCACAAAUUAUUGACUAUAUACUGCUUUGUGUGUCUCACUCAUCCAGCCCUUAAAAGAGCCUAAUAGGAUACUAAAGUAAUGACGUGUCAAUAUGACUGGCUUUGUGCAUUGAAAAGAUAGACUAGAAAAUGUUCCACAUUGAUAUAAUUUCGCCCUCUAUCCUAGUGUUGCCAAACAAAUGGGAAAUGCAGUAACCAUUGUCUUCAGGGCUGAGAAUGAGAUUGAAUAAUUUAUCUUGGAUGUGAUUAAUUUAGAUUAUUUGUCAUUGAUUUUUCAUUUACUGUUGUUUUUUGUUUGUUAUGGUCAACCAGAGAGUAGCUGGUGCUGGCUGGCUUGAAGUUGCCUCUUUAGUACAGAUAUAGGAUCAGCCUCCACUCCCCCAAAUUCCAACAUUAACCAUAAGUAGGGAUGUCAAAGCAGAUCCUAGAUCAGCGACAAGAGGUAACCUAGUUCUACUCCAACUGGCUCGGUCCAGAGAAGUGAAGUGUUGUUCGGAACAGGUCAGAGAAGUGUUGUUUAGGACAGGUUAGAGAAGUGAAGUGUUGUUCAGGACAGGUCAGAGAAGUGUUGUUUAGGACAGGUUAGAGAAGUGAAGUGUUGUUCAGGACAGGUCAGAGAAGUGUUGUUUAGAACAGGUUAGAGAAGUGAAGUGUUGUUCAAGACUGGUCAGAGAAGUGUUGUUUAGGACAGGUCAGAGAAGUGUUGUUUAGGACAGGUUAGAGAAGUGAAGUGUUGUUCAAGACUGGUCAGAGAAACAGGUAAAUAAUGUUCAUACACAUACGUUUGCAAACGUUCUGUUAUGUGAAAUGACUUGCAUCUCAGCUGUAUGUAAUCAAAUUGCUUUCCUUUUGUUUUGUGUGUUGCCUUAACUGUUGUCUUAAUCCUAUAAUAUUAACUAGAGCAAAUGUGUACUCAGACUAUAUAAAAAAUGCUUAAGAUAGUGAUCACCAUAUUAUACUUUAAGACUGACCAACUUUCAAUUAACAUCGACUAACUUUAACGCUGACCAUAUACCAAAUGGUAAAAGAUAGUAGCGAUCACCAUUGCCAUAUUAUUCUGUCACUUGAUGAUUAUCCAAGCUUCUGUGUUAAACAAUACAACUUUGUCUGCCUUAUGUACCAAAUGUUACUUUUGGUGACAAGUGUAAUUAAUUUGGAGAUAAAAUAUAUACACUCUACUAUUUUGGCUUUAAGUAUUUUAUCUACAACAGACAGGUAACAUUGACCAACACUGACCAACUUUCAGCAACUUUAACGCUGUGUAAUGGGGCAGUGAGUCGGGUGCAGGUGAAACGUUUUAACAAAACCAAGAACACGACACUAACAUAGAGCAGAACGCCGAUACACAACAACAAUACCAACUGGUGAGUGAACAUGGUGAAACGUGACAUAAAGGGGAGGAAAUGAUGAAGGUAAUGGAGUCCAGGUGUGAAUCAUAAUGACUCACAGGUGUGCGUAAUGAUGAAUCCCAGGACCGGUGGUUGGUACUCUGGCGACGUCGAACGCCAGAGGGGAGGAGCAGGAGUAGACGUGACAUGCUGACCGACUUUUUUUAGGGGCUGGGAUUAAAAAUGUAAAUGUAGAGGUAGUUCAGGACUGGUCAG
rnacentral:lncRNA from 1 species